GUUACAGGUCCUAUGAGAAGGGAACUUCUUGGUUCCUGUUCUUGCUGAGGCUGAGGCUUCAACUGCUAAACCACCCCAGAGGUACACGAUGGGUCUAACCAAGGGGUCACCCUGGCAGCCUGUGUGCAAAGCAGAACUUACUUGUCAUGACGGAUGAUGAUGGAUGGUCCCUGAGCUCAGUCAUGCUCCUCAUGGAACAGGACACAUUGUAAAAAUGCAUCUCAGAAAACAUCUUUCUUCAAAAAGCAGCUUUGAACCCUAGAACACAUUUAGCAUGGUCUGAGGCAUCACCAGAAAUAGCAGCAGUGGGUCCUGGAAGCUGUGGCUGUCAUUCGAAUGGGACAUAAACACGGGCGGAAGCAGGGAUGAGGCGGCCGGUUAUGCUUCAUCCCUUCCAGCCCCCCCUUACGCACACAGGAAGUCACAGCCAGGACUGUCAUCUCUUCGGACAAAGGAUGAUGAUGUAAAAAGAGCCCGAAAUGUAAAGAUGGCAAAUACUCACCCUUACGUCAUGGAAACUGCCUGCCUGACCCUUAAUCAUGUUCAUUCUUUUGAACCUGAACAUCUCAUUCUGUAAU